GAAAACGUAUGUGUAGUGGUUUGAAUGACAGACUAUGACUCUGGAGACCAGGGUUCAAUUCCCUGCUCA